AACGCGAAGUGGAAUCUGAAGGAAGGUACAGGCAAACCUCUGGCUUGACGAACAGAAAUCGCAUAUACGGCUAUCGCUGGGGAAAAGGCCACCACACAGGUUGAAGUCCAAUAGCUACACGGAACAAGUGGCGGUAGGUGCGGCAGGUAGGUGGAGGGAAAGAA
rnacentral:ncRNA from 1 species